AGAGUUUGAUCAUGGCUCAGGAUGAACGCUGGCGGCAUGCCUAACACAUGCAAGUCGAACGCUAUCUUUGAUAGAGUGGCGCACGGGUGAGUAACGCGUGGGAACCUGCCUUUUUCUGCGGGACAACGGUUGGAAACGACCGCUAAUACCGCAUACGCCCUACGGGGGAAAGGUCCGCCGGAGAAAGAGGGGCCCGCGUUUGAUUAGCUUGUUGGUAGGGUAAUGGCCUACCAAGGCGACGAUCAAUAGCUGGUCUGAGAGGAUGAUCAGCCACACUGGGACUGAGACACGGCCCAGACUCCUACGGGAGGCAGCAGUGGGGAAUAUUGGACAAUGGGGGCAACCCUGAUCCAGCAAUGCCGCGUGUGUGAUGAAGGCCCUAGGGUUGUAAAGCACUUUCACUGGUGAAGAUGAUGACGGUAACCAGAGAAGAAACCCCGGCUAACUUCGUGCCAGCAGCCGCGGUAAUUC
rnacentral:rRNA from 1 species